CGCUCUGAGCGGGAGGCGGAUCGAACUAUUCCACCUGCGCUGAGGGGAGACACACAUUCUCAUGCAGGUCUCCAAGUCCUUUCAUUGAUUGCGUGAUAAUAUUUUUUAAUUCGCGUGUUUUCCGUUUUGUUUUUAAAUCUGAGAGUUUUUAGAGUGGUCUCUGAGUGAGUAGAUAUGCAGAAGGGAGUGAAGAUGAAGAUGACAUCUGAUCAGACCACAGAUGAUUUUAUUCCAGGGGACAUAGUGUUUGCUAAAAUGAAGGGUUAUCCUUUCUGGCCUGCCAGGAUUGGUGAAGGAAAAUCCCCCCAAAAUAAGAUCCCCAUCUUCUUUUAUGGAACACACUCCACGUGAGUAAACUGGAAACAC